rnacentral:rRNA from 1 species
AAAAACAUCGCCUCCUGCAAAAAUCAACAUAUAGGAGGUCUUACCUGCCCAGUGACUUAAGUUAAACGGCCGCGGUAUUUUGACCGUGCAAAGGUAGCGCAAUCACUUGUCUCUUAAAUGGGGACCCGUAUGAAUGGUGAAACGAGGGCUUAACUGUCUCCCCCCUCCGGUCAAUGAAAUUGAUCUGCCCGUGCAGAAGCGGGCAUAAUUAUACAAGACGAGAAGACCCUCUGGAGCUUAAGAUAAAAGACCAACUAUGUCAAAAGUACUAAAAAAUACUAAACUAAAUAACACUGGUCCCAAUCUUCGGUUGGGGUGACCACGGGAGAAAACAAAGCUCCCACGUGGACUGGGGAAACCCCCUAAAGCUAAGAAAGACAUCUCUAACACACAGAACAUCUGACCAAAAAGAUCCGGCCCUAUGCCGACCAACGGACCAAGUUACCCUAGGGAUAACAGCGCAAUCCUCUUCCAGAGUCCAUAUCGACAAGAGGGUUUACGACCUCGAUGUUGGAUCAGGAUAUCCUAAUGGUGCAGCCGCUAUUAAGGGUUC